UGGAGGACAAUGGCUUCACAGGCAGGAAGGAUUCCAUGGGAACAGAGAGCAGUCCGCGCCUCUCUCCUUCCCUUCCUGCCUGGGCCAUCUCCCAGGACCCCUGACAGUUUCACCUCCCACACAGGCUUCACAGAGAGAGGACCCUGCCCACACCCCGGCUGCUUCAAGCCCGACCUGACGCCUUCCUGUGACCUGCGAAUACGACUUCCUAGACAAGGGUGGGGAUGGCUGUUUGCCAUCUAAAUCUUGAAAAGUACUUUUGGCUUAUCGGGUCAACUUGACUGGAAUGCACGAAUGAUCAAGGAGUCGCCCAGGUGUGCACCCCGGUCACAACAGUGAUACUCAAGGGCUCUCCAAAGGAGGCAGGCUUGUGUGGACCCCAGAGGGACUCCUGAUCAGAAAUUGCAGAUGAAAUUUCUUACGGGUGGAGUUUAAAAUCGCUCAGGAAAAGCACUCAAAAAGAGUUGCAAGAUCAUGGAGUGAAUUCCAAGCGCUUUGUGCCUUGAGAGCACUGAACCGAUAAGGUGAUAAGAAUAAUGGUUGGAGACCAGGUGUAAUUCUUCAAGUCUCAAAGGAAAUCACAGAAAAUUUCCAUUUUGGCAGCUGAGAUAAAAAUGAUCAAGGAAGAA